CAGAGGCUUCCAGAAAACAGCUGGGGAGAAGCUGAGUCCCAUCAACAAUUCAAAGGACUGCAGCUCCAGCCAACACUUUGAUGUAAUCUCAUGAGAGAGACUCUGAAUCAGAACCACCUAGGUGUGUCAGAGAAAAAAAUGAGAGACAGACAAGAUCUCACAAGUAUCCUCCGAGUGGGUAUAAAAUGUCCGCUAGGGGGCGAUUCUUCUUGGACACUCUAUUGGCAAGACUAAAUUCUGGGAUCUGCAAUGGCUGCCAUUCCUCGAGUCACAUGCUGUUUAGCUGCCACUGUUGGACUUGACUCUCUGUCCUUGGAUGGACUUUGAAAAUCCCUGGGAAGCUCUUGGAGUCAGAUGAUCAGGCCUCCAUCCCUCUGCCAAAAAGUCUGUUCAACAAAGAUCUCUUCGAGACUGUCCAACAAAUAGUCAAAGGAUGUGAAGCAUGCCAGAAAAACAAUCCUUUGGCACAUUGCAAAGCUCCUCCUGGGGAAAAGCAAGCCUGUCCUUACCCAGAGGAGGACUGGAAAAUGGACUUUUCUCAUAUGUGUAAGUAUCGGGGAUAUCAAUAUCUGCUAGAAUGCGUAGAUACUUACACAAACUGGGUUGAGGCUCUCCCCUGCACAACAGAGAAAGCCGAAGAGGCAAUGGAAGUCCUGAUUAAUGAAAUAAUCCCUAGAGUUCUAUUUUAUUUUAUUUUUAAUUCUUGCAACCUCUGUGCCUCCAAUUUUACUUUUUUAUAAAAUCAGGUUUUAAUGCUUUUCUGACAAAAGUCAAAGGAGUAAUGUGAAAGCAACAUACAUUUUAUUAUUUUAAUGCAUAUAUAAACAUAGUACCAGUUCUCCUGAGUUAACUUUUUUUUUUUUAAUCUUCAAGCAAUGGUGUUUCUAGAAUUUUUUUUAUAGAAGGAGCAAUGAAUAAGCAUUCGGUUUGGACAAGGAUUUGGAGAACUUGUCAUGUGGCUCUAUGUGCAUAUGAAAUACAUCAUCGUAACUCAGAAUGUGAAUUAUAGAACAAACUUGAAACUUAGCAAAAUAUUCUAACAUAUUUUUAUGAUCUCUACUUGCAAUAGGAAACUGUUAGGUUUUCCUAUCAAAGAAUAAGUGCACCGAAACCAAAACAUUCUGCGUGGACAAAAGGGGAUUUGUGGGGCAAGGCUAAAGCCCCCCAAACUUUCCUUAGGAUGAACACAAACCCAAUAUUUUUCUGUUGCUACUGUUCUGUGUUGCAAGGCUCUACUUAAGCAAAAUUUUGAAAAGCAUUGCUACAGUUUGGCUCCUCAUUUCUUACUCACUUUGGAAUAAUGAGGCCCUUUCCAGAUAAAGCAUCUUAAUUAAACAGAUGACAUUUAAACUAGACCUUGAAGAUCAGGUCAGAGUUAUCUUGGGAAAGAGGUAGGAGAGCAAUGCCCAGAAAAUAACAUUCAAAAACAUAAAUGUCUCUGACAACGUGACAAAGGUAGAGAUCAAGGGUAAAUUUUAGUGUGGCAUGGAUUAAUUCACUAACUCAAUAUAUAUAUAUUUAUGUAAAUAGCAUGGAUAAAUACUAGAAAUAAAACAAUGGACUAGACAUGGGCUUGACCUCAUGAUGUUUAGCAAAUAUUGUGUUCCCUAAGGCAGCAGUUCCCAACCUUUUUGGUACUAGGAACUGUUACAUGGGAGACUAUUUUUUUUUUUGGACUGAGAUGGGGGGACUGUUUUUGGGAUAAUUUAAGCAUA